rnacentral:tRNA from 1 species
UGGCUCAGUGGUAGAGUACUUGCCUUGCAUGCAUGAGGCUCUGGGUUUGAUUCCUUG